rnacentral:rRNA from 1 species
CAACUUUCAACAACGGAUCUCUUGGUUCUGGCAUCGAUGAAGAACGCAGCGAAAUGCGAUACGUAGUGUGAAUUGCACAAUUCAGUGAAUCAUCGAAUCUUUGAACGCACAUUGCGCCCUUUGGUAUUCCAAAGGGCAUGCCUGUUCGAGCGUCAUUU